UACCUCAUUGACCGGAAGGGAUUCCUUCAGUCAAUGAGAUUUUCAUACCUCAUUGACCGGAAGGAUUCCUUUCGAUUCCCUUGCCAGUCAAUGAGAUUUUCAUACCUCAUUGACCGGAAGGGAUUCCUUCCAGUCAAUGAGAUU
rnacentral:miRNA from 1 species